GAUGAACGCUAGCGGGAGGCCUAAUACAUGCAAGUCGAGCGGUAGAGUGACUUCGGUUGCUUGAGAGCGGCGAACGGGUGAGUAACGCGUACACAAUCUACCUUUAAGAGGGGAAUAGCCCUGGGAAACUGGGAUUAAUGCCCCAUGGCAUCACGAGACGGCAUCGUUUUGUGAUUAAAGCUGAGGUGCUUAGAGAUGAGUGUGCGUCUGAUUAGCUAGUUGGUGCGGUAACGGCGCACCAAGGCGACGAUCAGUAGGGGGCGUGAGAGCGUGGACCCCCACACGGGUACUGAGACACGGACCCGACUCCUACGGGAGGCAGCAGUAAGGAAUAUUGGUCAAUGGAGGAAACUCUGAACCAGCCAUCCCGCGUGCAGGAAGAAUGCCCUAUGGGUUGUAAACUGCUUUUAUCUGGGAAGAAAAGUCGGGAUUUAUCCUGAUCUGACGGUACCAGAGGAAUAAGCACCGGCUAACUCCGUGCCAGCAGCCGA
rnacentral:rRNA from 1 species